rnacentral:rRNA from 1 species
AUCUAUGACCAUACCACCCUGAAUGCGCCCAAUCUCAUCUGAUCUCAGAAGCUAAGCAGGGUCGGACCUGGUUAGUACUUGGAUGAGAGAAACAUGGAAAGAUC